rnacentral:rRNA from 1 species
GAUGAACGCUGGCGGCGUGCCUAAUACAUGCAAGUCGAGCGACCGGACGAUAAGCUUGCUCUUCUGCUGUUAGCGGCGGACGGGCGGGUAACACGUGGAUAACCUACCUCUAAGACUGGGAUAACUACGGGAAACCGGAGCCACUACCGGCUAAUAUUUUGAACCGCAUGGUUCAGAAGUGAAAGACGCUCUUGCUGUCACUUAUAGAUGGAUCCGCGCUGCAUUAGCUAGUUGGUAAGGUAACGGCUUACCAAGGCAACGAUGCAUAGCCGACCUGAGAGGAUGAUCGGCCACACUGGAACUGAGACACGGUCCAGACUCCUACGGGAGGCAGCAGUGGGGAAUCUUCCGCAAUGGGCGAAAGCCUGACGCAGCAACACCGCGUGAGUGAUGAAGGUCUUCGGAUUGUAAAACCCUGUUGUUAGGAAAGAAAAUAUGCGUAAGAAACUCUGGCCGUCUUGACGGUACCUAAUGAAAAAGCCACGGCUAACUUCGUG